GACGAACGCUGGCGGCGUGCUUAACACAUGCAAGUCGAACGGAAAGGCCCUGCUUUUGUGGGGUGCUCGAGUGGCGAGCGGGUGAGUAACACGUGAGUAACCUGCCCUUGACUUUGGGAUAACUUCAGGAAACUGGGGCUAAUACCGGAUAGGAGCUCCUGCUGCAUGGUGGGGGUUGGAAAGUUUCGGCGGUUGGGGAUGGACUCGCGGCUUAUCAGCUUGUUGGUGGGGUAGUGGCUUACCAAGGCUUUGACGGGUAGCCGGCCUGAGAGGGUGACCGGCCACAUUGGGACUGAGAUACGGCCCAGACUCCUACGGGAGGCAGCAGUGGGGAAUAUUGCACAAUGGGCGGAAGCCUGAUGCAGUAACGCCGCGUGCGGGAUGACGGCCUUCGGGUUGUAAACCGCUUCCGCCUGUGACGAAGCGUGAGUGACGGUAAUGGGUAAAGAAGCACCGGCUAACUACGUG
rnacentral:rRNA from 1 species